rnacentral:rRNA from 1 species
AUGAACGCUGGCGGCGUGCCUAAUACCUGCAAGUCGAGCGAACAGACGAGGAGCUUGCUCCUCUGACGUUAGCGGCGGACGGGUGAGUAACACGUGGAUAACCUACCUAUAAGACUGGGAUAACUUCGGGAAACCGGAGCUAAUACCGGAUAAUAUAUUGAACCGCAUGGUUCAAUAGUGAAAGACGGUUUUGCUGUCACUUAUAGAUGGAUCCGCGCCGCAUUAGCUAGUUGGUAAGGUAACGGCUUACCAAGGCAACGAUGCGUAGCCGACCUGAAAGGGGGGACCGCCCACACGGGACCUGAGACCCGGCCCAGCCCCCUAGGGGGGGCAGCGGGAGGAAAUCUUCCGCAAGGGGGGAAAGCCUGACGGGAAAACCCCGGGGGGGUGAAGAGGGUUUUCGGAUCGUAAAACCCUUUUAUUAGGGAAAAAAAAAUGUGUAAGUAACUAUGCCAGUCUGGACGGUACCAAAGCAAAAAGCCACGGCAAACUACGG